AUGUGAUUGACGGCUGACUCCA
rnacentral:miRNA from 1 species